rnacentral:rRNA from 1 species
GACCCGUCUUGAAACACGGACCAAGGAGUCUAACAUGUGCGCGAGUCACGGGGUCUUGUACAGGCCCAGAGGCGCAAUGAAAGUGAAGGCCGGACUCGUUUCCGGCUGUGUUGGGACUCUCUGCGCUUGUCGUGGGGAAGCACCAACGACCCGUCCUAUCCUACUCUUAGGUGGGGCGGAGUUAGAGCGCACACGUUGGGACCCGAAAGAUGGUGAACUAUGCCUGGGCAGGACGAAGCCAGAGGAAACUCUGGUGGAGGUCCGUAGCGGUUCUGACGUCCAAAUCGAUCGUCAGACCCGGGUAUAGGGGCGAAAGACUAAUCGAACCAUCUAGUAGCUGGUUCCUUCCGA